GAAUAUUGGUCAAUGGACGCAAGUCUGAACCAGCCAUGCCGCGUGGAGGAUGAAGGUCCUCUGGAUUGUAAACUUCUUUUAUCUGGGAAGAAACCCAUCUUUUCUUGGAUGGUUGACGGUACCAGAUGAAUAAGCACCGGCUAACUCCGUGCCAGCAGCCGCGGUAAUACGGAGGGUGCAAGCGUUAUCCGGAUUCACUGGGUUUAAAGGGUGCGUAGGUGGGCAGGUAAGUCAGUGGUGAAAUCUCCGGGCUUAACUCGGAAACUGCCAUUGAUACUAUCUGUCUUGAAUAUUCUGGAGGUGAGCGGAAUAUGUCAUGUAGCGGUGAAAUGCUUAGAUAUGACAUAGAACACCAAUUGCGAAGGCAGCUCACUACGGGAAUAUUGACGCUGAGGCGCGAAAGCGUGGGGAUCAAACAGG
rnacentral:rRNA from 1 species